UAUCCUCUAUCUGUUCUGUCAGAUUAAUACAAACUUUUGCAUGCACUUGGCAUAUUCAACCCUCUAGACACCUCUAAAUUUCAACUGUAGAAGUUUCUCCAAUUUCACAAAACAGUCAAGAUUACCAACCUUAACUUUAUUGCAAAAAUCCAAUUCACCAAUACAAACACUGACUUUGAGCAACGAUUAUAAAGUCCUCCCAAAUCCUAUGAAACCCAGUCCUACACCUUUCGAAGGAGCUUGAAGCUAGCUCUUCGAUCCCAAAAUCUUGAUCUCCGAAUGCCCCCUUCCUUUUCCUCUUCUCUCUUUUAGCUGCGUGAGGUCCCUUAUUCUUCUGCCUUUGAUUUCGAAUUGGAAUAGCAGACCCACCUCCAUGGAAUUCCCGCCUCUAAGAGGAUCUUUUCACAGAAAGGACGUUUCUCUGAAACGGCAUAGAGAAUGGAAUAGCUUGAAAUAGAAUCGAAGCCCCUGUAUUCGAGACUUCAUUGGGGUGCCCAACCGAGUCAUGUCCCAUACCGGAUAAGAGGCUCAUAACAGGACCUGGAUUGAAUGUCCCGUAAUUGGGUCAAAUUGGUCCUUCGCAUCAGGCUCAUCCAAUUGUUGAAUUGGUCCUUUCUAUUUUUUCUCACUCUUAAUAAGAAUGGCUUGGACACGUCCCACCCAUUUAUUAGAGAAUCUUGAGGUCCUUGAUUUAUCUCAUCAAUUUUUCUUUGGCUUUGGAUGUGCUGAUCUCAUUUAUUGAAAUUGGAUGGAGCAUAAUAUUGCUAAUAAGU
rnacentral:lncRNA from 1 species